UACAGAGACUGCAAGCGUUAUUCGGAUUCACUGGGCGUAAAGCGCGCGUAGGCGGUCCUUUAAGUGUGGCCUGAAAGCCCCCGGCUCAACUGGGGAGGGUCAUUCGAUACUGUUCGACUCGAAGGCAGGAGAGGGAAGCGGAAUUCCCGGUGUAGUGGUGAAAUGCGUAGAUAUCGGGAGGAACACCAGUGGCGAAGGCGGCUUCCUGGCCUGUUCUUGACGCUGAGGCGCGAAAGCUAGGGGAGCAAACGGG
rnacentral:rRNA from 1 species